rfam:Anopheles gambiae str. PEST chromosome X, whole genome shotgun sequence.
CCUUAUCUGGAUCGGGUUUCGCUGGCUAACGUGUUGUGCGAGCGAGCAAAAAAAACUUCAAUUCGUUGUCGACGAAACCUGCACGGAGUAAGG